GAUGAACGCUAGCGGCAGGCUUAACACAUGCAAGUCGAGGGGUAGAAGUUGCUUGCAACUUUGAGACCGGCGCACGGGUGCGUAACGCGUAUGCAAUCUACCUUAUACAGAGGGAUAGCCCAGAGAAAUUUGGAUUAAUACCUCAUAGUAUAAUUGAAUGGCAUCAUUUAAUUAUUAAAGUUCCAACGGUAUAAGAUGAGCAUGCGUCCUAUUAGCUAGAUGGUAAGGUAACGGCUUACCAUGGCAACGAUAGGUAGGGGUCCUGAGAGGGAGAUCCCCCACACGGGUACUGAGACACGGACCAGCCUCCUACGGGAGGCAGCAGUGAGGAAUAUUGGACAAUGGGCGCAAGCCUGAUCCAGCCAUGCCGCGUGCAGGAAGAAGCGUCUAUGGUGUGUAAACUGCUUUUGUACGGGAAGAAACACCCCUUCGUGAAGGGACUUGACGGUACCGUAAGAAUAAGGAUCGGCUAACUCCGUGCCAGCCGCCGCAGUAAGAC
rnacentral:rRNA from 1 species